CAUAUAUAGAGAGAGUUGCGACAACCCGUAUCACGGGCGCCAUUUUGUUUCCAUGCGCGCUACGUAAAAAAUCUGUCUAAAAUCAUACUAAGCUACUACUAUUUCUACAUUAAAAAGCUCGAUUUGUGUCGUUUCCUGAUCAUCGUGGUUUCGGGAGAGACGUUGUAUUGUUCAAACAACCGAUCUGAACAGUUUUGACGCUUUUCAAGGAAAACCUCGCGCUUUGGCCUCGGAAUUCCAACAUUUAUAACCGUGUUGUUCUGUACACGUUUCUUUCUGCAAUGAAUGGUAUAAAUAAAACGAUGGCUCAUCAUCAGAAGCUCAAGUUACAAAGGUAUAAAUGCGAUGCUUAAUCACAUGUUACACAAGCACACAUGUAUACUCAUGCACACAUUUGUUGACUGGCUAGAGUUGUGUUUCCAUACAAGGGCAUUCAUUUUCAUUUCAAUUUUUUGACUAAUUUUCUCAUUGUCAUGCUCUUGCUUCCUAGUUCACCUUGACUCUGAUUCUUUUCUUUCUCUAACUCCUGUUUUCUUUUACGUUUCAUCUGCUUGCAUAGAAUGUGUAAGCGAACAGUCAAGUACUUUGAUAGUAGCUUCUGCUUGAUAUUAUGACAAUUGAGGAACAAAUCAUGUACUGUUAUUUCUUCAGCCUUGUCCAACAAUAAUCUUUUCACAUUUUUUGAUGUCAUCAACACUGAUUCAUCGAAGUUUCUUAG